AGAGUUUGAUCCUGGCUCAGGACGAACGCUGGCGGCGUGGAUAAGACAUGCAAGUCGAACGAGAGAAUUGCUAGCUUGCUAAUAAUUCUCUAGUGGCGCACGGGUGAGUAACACGUGAGUAACCUGCCCCCGAGAGCGGGAUAGCCCUGGGAAACUGGGAUUAAUACCGCAUAGUAUCGAAAGAUUAAAGCAGCAAUGCGCUUGGGGAUGGGCUCGCGGCCUAUUAGUUAGUUGGUGAGGUAACGGCUCACCAAGGCGAUGACGGGUAGCCGGUCUGAGAGGAUGUCCGGCCACACUGGAACUGAGACACGGUCCAGACACCUACGGGUGGCAGCAGUCGAGAAUCAUUCACAAUGGGGGAAACCCUGAUGGUGCGACGCCGCGUGGGGGAAUGAAGGUCUUCGGAUUGUAAACCCCUGUCAUGUGGGAGCAAAUUAAAAAGAUAGUACCACAAGAGGAAGAGACGGCUAACUCUGUGCCAGCAGCCGCGGUAAUACAGAGGUCUCAAGCGUUGUUCGGAAUCACUGGGCGUAAAGCGUGCGUAGGCUGUUUCGUAAGUCGUGUGUGAAAGGCGCGGGCUCAACCCGCGGACGGCACAUGAUACUGCGAGACUAGAGUAAUGGAGGGGGAACCGGAAUUCUCGGUGUAGCAGUGAAAUGCGUAGAUAUCGAGAGGAACACUCGUGGCGAAGGCGGGUUCCUGGACAUUAACUGACGCUGAGGCACGAAGGCCAGGGGAGCGAAAGGGAUUAGAUACCCCUGUAGUCCUGGCAGUAAACGGUGCACGCUUGGUGUGCGGGGAAUCGACCCCCUGCGUGCCGGAGCUAACGCGUUAAGCGUGCCGCCUGGGGAGUACGGUCGCAAGAUUAAAACUCAAAGAAAUUGACGGGGACCCGCACAAGCGGUGGAGUAUGUGGCUUAAUUCGAUGCAACGCGAAGAACCUUACCUGGGCUUGACAUGUAAUGAACAACAUGUGAAAGCAUGCGACUCUUCGGAGGCGUUACACAGGUGCUGCAUGGCCGUCGUCAGCUCGUGUCGUGAGAUGUUUGGUUAAGUCCAGCAACGAGCGCAACCCCUGUUGCCAGUUACCAGCACGUGAAGGUGGGGACUCUGGCGAGACUGCCCAGAUCAACUGGGAGGAAGGUGGGGACGACGUCAGGUCAGUAUGGCCCUUAUGCCCAGGGCUGCACACGUACUACAAUGCCCAGUACAGAGGGGGCCGAAGCCGCGAGGCGGAGGAAAUCCUGAAAACUGGGCCCAGUUCGGACUGUAGGCUGCAACCCGCCUACACGAGGCCGGAAUCGCUAGUAAUGGCGCAUCAGCUACGGCGCCGUGAAUACGUUCCCGGGUCUUGCACACACCGCCCGUCA
rnacentral:rRNA from 1 species